GGUCCGGCCGGGCCUUUCCUCCUGGGGAGCCGCAUGCCCUUCACUGGGUGUGUCGGGGAACCAGGACUUUUACUUUGAAAAAAUUAGAGUGUUCAAAGCAGGCCUAUGCUCGAAUACAUUAGCAUGGAAUAAUAGAAUAGGACGUGUGGUUCUAUUUUGUUGGUUUCUAGGACCGCCGUAAUGAUUAAUAGGGAUAGUCGGGGGCAUCAGUAUUCAAUUGU
rnacentral:rRNA from 1 species